CAGAGGGUGCGAGCGUUGUCCGGAAUCACUGGGCGUAAAGGGCGCGUAGGUGGCGCCCCAAGUCAGUGGUGAAAGCUCGACGCUCAACGUCGAGUCGGCCACUGAGACUGGGGGGCUGGAGCACUGUAGAGGCAGAUGGAAUUCCGGGUGUAGCGGUGGAAUGCGUAGAGAUCCGGAAGAACACCGGUGGCGAAGGCGGUCUGCUGGGCAGUUGCUGACACUGAGGCGCGACAGCGUGGGGAGCAAACAGGAUUAGAUACCCUGGUAGUCCACGCCGUAAACGAUGGGCGCUAGAUGCUUGGGGGAGCGACCCCCUGAGUGUCGACGCUAACGCAUUAAGUGCCCCGCCUGGGGAGUACGGCCGCAAGGCUG
rnacentral:rRNA from 1 species